GUGCUUACUACAGCAGCACAUAUACUAAAAUUGGAAUGAUACAAAGAAGAUUACCAUGGCCCCUGUGCAAACAUGACACAAAUUCAUGAAGCGUUCCCUAUUUCA
rfam:Nomascus leucogenys chromosome 14, whole genome shotgun sequence.